UACAUGGGGUGCAAACGUUGCUCGGAAUUACUGGGCGUAAAGCGCACGUAGGCGGCCUGACAAGUCGGGUGUGAAAACCCUGGGCUCAACCCAGGAAGUGCACUCGAAACUGCCAGGCUUGAAUAUGGAAGAGGGUCGCGGAAUUCCCGGUGUAGAGGUGAAAUUCGUAGAUAUCGGGAGGAACACCAGUGGCGAAGGCGGCUAUCUGGACGGUUUCUGACACUAAGACGCGAAAGCGUGGGGAGCAAACAGG
rnacentral:rRNA from 1 species